GGCAGACUGUCAUAAAGCUAGUUAAACCUCACUUGGAAAUAGUCAUAUGAUCAUGAUCAUACUUCCUGAAUAAUUAAUUAAUAAUUAUCCAGCUACCCACAAUGAGUAAUUAGGCAUUUAUCUGCUUUAAUAUUACAUAUCUCCAGGAGAAAAAGAUGUGGGCCAGUAGGCUUUGAAAAGCUGGUAAAAACAAUACAUUUUAACAAUAAGGUUAAGAUAAAUAGUUUAAAUGACUAAGUCAAGAAUCUGAAAUGGUAUUUAGGACAUAACUGUAUUUAUAAAAAUUGUCUCCAGUCAGGCCUGAUUUAGCAUACUUUGGCUGAUACAUAUAAGAUAAAUCAUUUAAGAAUUUUUGAAUUAUAUACAAUAAAACAACUAUAGUUUGGUAGAUAUGUUAGAAAAAGACUUUCAUCCUCUCUCAACCUGAACAAUUCUAAAUUUUCUCCAAAAACUUAUUUGACUCGGGUAGAAAUCAAAGAUCUCUAAAACAAAGAAGUGACUGAUGUGAAGAUCCUGUUAAUUUUAGUGGCGAUUACUGCUACUCUCAAUCAACAUUGUUAAUUUACAUACACUAGCGCCCACCUUCUUUUCUCAAUAACCCUCUACCAGUUUACUUGAGAGAAAGUGGUCAAAGUAUUCAAUAAAAUAGGCU
rnacentral:lncRNA from 1 species